rnacentral:tRNA from 1 species
AAGGAUUUAAGUUAAAAAAACUCAUAGCCUUCAAAGCUAUAAUUAAAGGGAAGCUUUAAGCCUUA